rnacentral:rRNA from 1 species
ACCCGCUGAAUUUAAGCAUAUAACUAAGCGGAGGAAAAGAAACUAACCAGGAUUCCCCCAGUAACGGCGAGUGAAGCGGGAAGAGCUCACGUUGUAAAUCUGACUUCGGUCCGAAUUGUAGUCUGGAGAGGCGUGACCAGCUGGAGCCGGGGGCGAAGUCUCUUGGAAAAGAGCAUCAAGGAGGGUGACAAUCCCGUUCUUGCCCCCGUCCUCCACGCGUACGGUCCGUUUUCUACGAGUCGAGUUGCUUGGGAUUGCAGCUCAAAGCGGGUGGUAAAUUCCAUCUAAAGCUAAACACGGGUGGGAGACCGAUAGCGAACAAGUACCGUGAGGGAAAGAUGCAAAGAACUUUGAAAAGAGAGUUAAAGAGUGCCUGAAAUUGCUGAAAGGGAAGCGAAGGAAACCAGUGUCUGGCGGUUAAGCUUUUUCUCGGCCCCUCGGGGCCUUGGUUUGCGUUUCCGCCGUGGCCAGGGCCGGGUAGUGUUGCGGGAGCCUGCGCCUCGGAAGGUAGCAUCUCUUCGGAGUGUGAAGACCGUGGCGUUUUGUCGCGACGCUGGCUGGUUCUGACGAAAUGGUUUUCUUUAC